GGGCACAACGACUACAUACAGUGGUUGCCUCACAUGCGACCAUCAAAAUAGUUGUGCCCAAAGUAAAAUCCAACCAUUGCUAAAACAGCGGCGUGCUGGCUCUCAAUGCUCGCGUCUCUACCUGAACUCUGGCACAAA
rnacentral:snoRNA from 1 species